rnacentral:rRNA from 1 species
GGGUCAGUAGGUUGGUCGUGCCACCGGUACGUACUGGUCUCGCUGAUUCCUCCUUCCUGAAUAACCGUAAUGCCAUUAAUUUGGUGUUGCGGGGAAACAGGACUGUUACUUUGAAAAAAUUAGAGUGUUUAAAGCAAGCUAACGCUUGAAUACAUUAGCAUGGAAUAAUGAAAUAGGACGAUCGAUCCUAUUUUGUUGGUUUCUAGGAUUGACGUA